rnacentral:rRNA from 1 species
UACGGGGGGGGCAAGCGUUGUUCGGAAUUACGGGGCGUAAAGGGCCCGUAGGCGGCCAACUAAGUCCGACGUGAAAUCCCCAGGCUCAACUUGGGAACUGCGUCGGAUACUGGAUGGCUUGAAUUCGGGAGAGGGAUGCAGAAUUCCAGGUGUAGCGGUGAAAUGCGUAGAUAUCUGGAGGAAUACCGGUGGCGAAGGCGGCAUCCUGGACCGACAUUGACGCUGAACGGCGAAAGCUAGGGGAGCAAACGGG